AUGGCCUUUGCAAUUAAAACUUUAUUAUCACUUUGAUACUUCAAUUCUGUUUUUAACAAUUUACAAAAAUUAUAGACUGAAUCACUUCAGAAAACAUUUUUUUUGUAAAUUUGAAAUUUUGAUACUAGUGGCGAGGGAAUUUCGUGUACGCAAAAUGUAGUACUUGCCACCAAUAUUAAAAACAAAACAUACUAGGCAAGUAACGUCCGUAAAUAUACCACUACGUUAACUAAAAACGUUAAGCAGGAAGUGGAUAAUGAAAAAAGAGACAAGUACGAUUUAUAACUUCUUUAUUUAAUCCGCUUUUAGUACUUACAAAUAAAAAUUGUACCUAUCAUGACUACAGCCCCUGAAAACAAAACUUUAAAUUUACAAGUAACUUUCAUUAGCUGCAUACUUACAUAACUAGUUUACUUCUUGAGAAGUUGGUGUCUCAAGAUGAGGAAAGGAGCCCCAAAUCCAGACCCAAAGAAUGCAAUGAAGAGGGCUGUCAACUUAUACCUAUUGCUGAUGUCAAAGGGCAAAUUCUGCACACAACACCGCAAAAAUUAACAAACAUUCUAAACAGAAUUGUAAAAAACGUUAUCAAUCCCAACCCCAAAAAUUGACAGUUAUGUAAUCUCAA